UUUGUUCCUGUGCAGGGACAUCAUUGAAAACCCUGAGAAUGUUGAACCUGAAGGACAAUAUAUGAACCCCAAAGAGAACCCCAAGGAUAACAACAUCGUGUACGCCUCCAUUGCCCGCUCAAGCCCAGCCUCCCCAGGAACACCACCCUGCCAGCCCGUCCAUGG